GCUCCGCCCCGGACCCCGUUACGCCCACAAUAUGCCACACCUCCGGACACCGCCUUCUGCCAGGCUCCUCCCCCCACUUCGCCCCGCCCAUGGCCCCCGCCCCUCUCCCCAUAGGCUCCGCCUCACCCCUGGCUCGGUCCCUCCCCUAGGGCUCUGGCCCGCCCAGCAGCUCUCCUCUCACUGGUGCGCUGAGGACCCGCCCCUGGUCCCCGCAGCCGACCGGGCGUCAGGCCUGGGCCGCCUACUGACGGCCGAGACUCCACCCCGGGCUCGCACUAGCACUGGGUUUCUCAAUUCCGAGAAGGCCCUUGGGCUGCGUGCGAGCUGCAGUUCUCUAAGCCCACCGCGGGGUUACUGAAGGAAUACUUAACUUUAUUCACGCAGUACUCUUCUAAAGACCGGCAAGGAUUGUGCUUGCAAGCACAUGGGAUCAAGACACAGUUAUAAUUGGGUUUAUUAAUUAUUUUCAUCGCAUAACAAAAACUGCAACAACCAUCUGGAAAGUGUUACUUAGGCGAUUUAUUUAGCAAAGGAAAUAGGUAGUUCAAUGAGAAGUUGGAAAGGACCUGGCUGUGCUUACAACGCUCAGACUGCUGAAACAACGCUGUGACUCCCAAAUCAAAAUGACAUUGUGAGUUCAUCUGAUCCUAGCAAAGCUUGGCCCAGCUGACCGAAGGCAUCGGAGACUCAAGGGGUGAUUGGCAGAAAAAGAGAACGGCAAGAGACUGUACAGCUGCGGCCCAUCACUCAGCCGAGCGCAGCACCAAUGCAGCCAGCGGGGAGUGAGGUUUCAUUCUGAAGACCAGAGAGUGAAACGGCCACCCUAGGCCCGGCAGUGGCGGCACACACCUUUCAUCCCUAGUCAGCCACAGAGGCCGCGUGGCGGCGGUGCACACCUUUGAUCCCAGCGCUAGAGAGGAAUAGAAGGCAGGCUGAGACAGAACUGUCUCUCAGUCUGAAGAUUUCGUAAAGAAAGAGAAGGACAAAAGGCUGUUUUCACUGUGUUCUUCCGCUCCGGCGAGUCCCGCAGAGGUAGCCUGGCUUCUUUUGGUGGAAGUGCCCAAUUUCUCUUCAUAAAGGCAGUCAGGGGCUGCGGUGGCCAGAGGGGAGACUGAGCUGGGACACGCUGCUCACUCAGCUCACCUCCCCUCACCCCCAAAAUUGCCAAAACCCAAAGGAGAGAGGACUUGGAGCAGCAGGAGACGGACCCAGCUCCCCAUUCUCUUCUCUUCAGUGACAUCACAGAGCCACGGAACUGUUGUGCUAGAGACCAUGAUCUGGAGUAAGAGGCCACUGACCUCUCUGUGGGCUGCGGCUUCCAGCCACUCUCUCAGGGGUCAAGUGGAGCUCACAUGGCACUGUCUUGGCCAUGUUUUAGACCAGGAUUUUCCAGAUUCCAGCUUUCUUCUCCCGACUCAAGCCUCAUUGAUUGAAUUCUUUUCAUGGAUGUGAUCAGCCGACUCACCAUCCUACAAAAAUCCCCUUCUAUAGCUCUGUGUACUCCUAAGGACUUUUCUCCAGAAGGAAUGGCCUGCGUUCUUCAUCCCAUCCACUGUGCUGGCCUCCUGGACUCUCAGCUAGGCGCCGUCCAGGCCACAGCUCAUGGAAGCAGAGCUAGAACAAGAUGCUCAGUCAGAAGAUGAGCUCAGGCCCCAGGAGUUGAGUGAUGUCCUUGACAGAGAGGGCAGUGCUAGAACUGGAUUGUCCUAUAUGAAAGCAAGUUUGGGAAAGGUGGUGGCACAGACCGGCAAUCCUGGUUUGAUGGGGAACCUCCUUCAGCCAAAAGGCCUUUAAGAGGCUGGACCAGGAUACUUUUCAGUACCUAAGUAAGCAACACAAUGCUGUUCAAUGCUGCUGGCAUCUCUCAGAAAUGCGUCCCCAACUGCAACACCUGCUGGCAAAUAAAGGUUACUACACCUACUCCAGCUCACUGUAAUUGCCUUACAGGAGUUACUGGUCCAGCCUGCCCAAGACAGGGGGCCUUGGAGGACAUCUGAAGUAAACAUGCUGGAGUCUGGGAGAAGAGGGCCAUCCUUAAUCCCAGAGUCCCCUUUUUGGUAAGCACAUGGCAAUUCACCAAUGUAAUUUAGAUUGUAUU